ACCUGCCGUGUAUCCACGGGCACGCGUCCCUGCAGGUCAGCACCUCUGCCCUGUGUGUGUCAGUACCUGCCGUGUGUCCACGGGCACGCGUCCCGCAGGUCAGCACCUCUGCCCUGUGUGUGUCCACGGGCACGCGUCCCUGCAGGUCAGCACCUCUGCCCUGUGUGUGUCCACGGGCACGUGCCUGCAGGCCUCCCAUGGGGUGGAGGAGGCAAGGGGGGCUCCACAAGCCCACGUAUUUUUACUCAUUUGUAUUUAUUAAAUGAAAAGGUCUAGAGUCCCUCUCUUCUGUGGUCGAAGUGAAUUACUGUAUCAAAAAAUAAACUUGUGUAUUUCCCCCUCGGCA